UUCGCUUCCUGUCCAGCAGCUCCAGAUGGGGCAGAUCAAUGCGCGCAUUCCAGUUUAUUGUAACUGUAGAGGCAUGUGAUUUCAGCUCGUUAUGUCCGCGCGCUGGAUUGAGCACAAUGCAGUGAAUAUGGUGCCACUUGGAAACACGGAGCUCUGCGAACAAUUUACAUUGCAAUUACUUCUGAAGCCAUUUAUACGGAGUGAAACCACGGCUAUCUCGCGCAAGGUUGUUUUCUUGAGGUGACUACAGAGCCAUGAGGUCCUCAUCCUCGCGUUUAUCAAGUUUUUCCUCCAGGGAUUCUUUAUGGAGUCGGAUGCCGGAUCAGAUCUCCGUGUCCGAGUUUCUCUCGGAGACGACGGAGGAUUACAAUUCCCCCACGACAUCCAGCUUCACCACCCGCUUGCAGAGCUGUCGGAACACGGUCAAUGUUCUGGAAGAGGUAAGGCCGCUCUGUCA